GAACGAAAUGAUGAUCAUAAUUGUUUGAUAGCUGAUGUGAUAGCUAUUUAUCAUGUAUUAGCUCUAGCUGAUCAUUC